GACAGAGGCCUCGAGCGUUAGGCGGAAUCACUGGGCUUAAAGCGUGUGUAGGCGGGUCGUUAAGUACCUUGUGAAAUCCCCCGGCUCACCCGGGGAACGGCUGGGUAUACUGGCGAUCUUGGGCCAUUCAGGGGCAACUGGAACAAGCGGUGGAGCGGUGAAAUGCGUAGAUAUCGCUUGGAACGCCAAAGGUGAAAACAGGUUGCUGGGAAUGUGCCGACGCUGAGACACGAAAGCCAGGGGAGCAAACGGG
rnacentral:rRNA from 1 species